UAAAUAUCUCCAGUCGACCAAGAAAUUGGGCCACAUUUGCCCCGUGUGACAUUCACACCUGGCGCCACCAGCGGCCAGACACAGGCAACAGCUGCCUGCAGCACCAAGGAUCAGCUGACGCCAUAAACACGACGCCCCGCCCCACAGUCUGGGAAGACUGAAUGUGACAUUUGAACUCUGGGCAAGCUGAUCUUCUUGUUUAGAAACUAUUACCGUCCACUUGACAAAAAUGCCCACAGCAGGUGCUAUGACCCUGAUGUUUAUUGGGGUUAUUCUCUUUGCCAUAAUACUCUUUGUGACCUGUUUUAAAAGGCAAGUUGGUAGAAUGAAAGAUCGCUCAAGGAGAGAUCCUCAUGUACCUGGCUCUGAAGCUAAGAAGGCUUUAAGACGAGAAAUUGAGCGAAGGUUGGAUCGGGUAGCAGACAUAUACUAUGAACCCAAGUUGCUCACGCUAGAGAUUGACAACAAAGCAAAUUCUGACCUGCCUCCUUAUUACUUUAGAAUGAAAGCUGUAGAUAAUAUGAAAUAUUUAGAGCAAGAGUUGUCAUCACUGGAAGGAGUUGGAGUUCGUGGAUCUAGGGAAAGCAUCAGAGCCUUCCUGAUGAAUCUUACCUAUCCAGGAGGUGUCUUGGCACUGGUUGAGCCACGUAUUAUCCACGAGCUCUGCGACUACUAUGAUCAUGCACGAUAUCACCCAAUGCACUUUACUGCUGCACAGUUUACUCCAUACCAUAGCUUAUUGCUGCGGAUCUUGAACUGUGGUCGUAAUGGUGAGAAGUUUUCUGGACGUGUCAUGUCCACAGUCAAGGCACCAAGUGACCAUGAUUCAGCAAUUGAUGAACCUGAACAUGACCACAGUGGAGAUGAUGAAAACUUAAUCAUCACAGAUUCUAACAUGGUGCUGCUUCACAGACCGUCGUCACUCAAAGUAUCUCCUGAAGAUAAUUUUGAAACAUCAGUCUGAAGAUAGUUUAUGCUAGGAUCAAUGGCUGACUCCUGCAUGGAUGAGGAAAUGGAGGACUGAAACAUUGCUUGUGUGCUUUAGCUGGACUAAGCUGAAUACCCUUUAACCGUAGCAGCAGAGAUGAGGCAGUCACUCUCUACAUGGGUAACGGUGCAGGUGUCCUGUUGCAGAAGUAUUGCUGAAGAAUUUAAA
rnacentral:misc_RNA from 1 species